ensembl:misc_RNA 7SK 7SK RNA
GGAUGUAAGGGCAAUCUGGCUGUGACAUCUGUCACUACGUUGAUCACCAGGGUUGAUUCGGCUGAUCUGGCUGGCUAGGCCGGUGCCCCCUUCCUCCCUCACUGACCCAGCUCCAUGUGCGCCCCUCCCAAAGCUAUGUGCUCGGUGGAAGUGGAUGACCUUCCCUGACAGAGGAGGACAUUCUUGGGCCAAGGGUAUUCGAGUAGCUGCACUCCCUGAUAGAACCUCCAAACAAACUCUCAAGGUCCAUUUGUGGGAGAACACAGGGUAGUCAAGCUUCCAAGACUCUAGACACAUCCAAAUGAGACGUUGCAUAUGGCGGUCUGCCUUUCUUA